rnacentral:rRNA from 1 species
UACGUAGGGGGCAAGCGUUGUCCGGAAUCAUUGGGCGUAAAGAGCGUGUAGGCGGCUCGGUAAGUCCGCUGUGAAAGUCCAGGGCUCAACCCUGGAAUGCCGGUGGAAACUGUCGAGCUAGAGUCCGGAAGAGGCGAGUGGAAUUCCUGGUGUAGCGGUGAAAUGCGCAGAUAUCAGGAGGAACACCAAUGGCGAAGGCAGCUCGCUGGAACGGUACUGACGCUGAGGCGCGAAAGCGUGGGGAGCGAACAGG